UUGCACGCUGGCGGCAGGCCUCACACAUGCAAGUCGAGCGGAUGAAGGGAGCUUGCUCCUGGAUUCAGCGGCGGACGGGUGAGUAAUGCCUAGGAAUCUGCCUGGUAGUGGGGGAUAACGUCCGGAAACGGGCGCUAAUACCGCAUACGUCCUGAGGGAGAAAGUGGGGGAUCUUCGGACCUCACGCUAUCAGAUGAGCCUAGGUCGGAUUAGCUAGUUGGUGGGGUAAAGGCCUACCAAGGCGACGAUCCGUAACUGGUCUGAGAGGAUGAUCAGUCACACUGGAACUGAGACACGGUCCAGACUCCUACGGGAGGCAGCAGUGGGGAAUAUUGGACAAUGGGCGAAGGCCUGAUCCAGCCAUGCCGCGUGUGUGAAGAAGGUCUUCGGAUUGUAAAGCACUUUAAGUUGGGAGGAAGGGCAGUAAGUUAAUACCUUGCUGUUUUGACGUUACCAACAGAAUAAGCACCGGCUAACUUCGUG
rnacentral:rRNA from 1 species